rnacentral:rRNA from 1 species
UACGUAGGGGGCUAGCGUUGUCCGGAAUCAUUGGGCGUAAAGCGCGUGUAGGCGGCCCGGUAAGUCCGCUGUGAAAGUCGGGGGCUCAACCCUCGGAUGCCGGUGGAUACUGUCGGGCUUGAGUACGGAAGAGGCGAGUGGAAUUCCUGGUGUAGCGGUGAAAUGCGCAGAUAUCAAGGAGGAACACCGAUUGCGAAGGCAGCUCGCUGGGACGUUACUGACGCUGAGACGCGAAAGCGUGGGGAGCAAACAGG